UGCUUAUUGUGUAGUUUGUGAUAGUCUGUUUCUCUGAAACAUUGCGUUAUUCACCACUGAUCUGGCUCGUUAUCUGUUUUUGAUCAUCCUCCUUUGCUUGGGCUUAACUCCAGAUCCUAGAUCUACUUUGCCUCCCAGCACGACAGUGAGUCCUACAGAAGUUUCAACUGUUACUUGUACCUUUACCCCAGACACCACACUGACACCAACUACCAGUUUGACCUCCCCUUUGACCCCUAGCAGGGCAGUGAAUCCUUCAUCAGGUCUCUUAGUCGGCCCCAAAGCAUGAUGUUUCCACCCCCAUGCUUCACAGUAGGUAUGGUGUUCUUUGGAUGCAACUCAGCAUUCUUUGUCCUCCAAACACAA